GUGUGUACAAAGUGACCCCUCGCUCCUGCCACCGGUUUGAGCAAGCGUUCUACACCUAUGACACGUCUUCACCUAGUAUCUUGACAUUGACAGCCAUUCGCCACCAUGUCCUUGGAACUAUCACCACCGACAAAAUGAUGGAUGUCACUGUGACUAUCAAGUCUUCCAUCGACAGUGAACCCGCCUUGGUCUUAGGCCCUCUGAAGUCUGUGCAGGAGCUGCGGAGGGAGCAGCAGCUGGCUGAGAUCGAGGCCCGCAGGCAGGAGAGGGAGAAAAAUGGCAAAGAGGAAGGCGAAGAAAGAAUGACCAAGCCUCCCAUGCAGGAGAUGGUAGAUGAGUUACAAGGCCCCUUCUCGUAUGAUUUCUCUUACUGGGCGCGGUCUGGAGAGAAAAUCACUGUUACACCAUCAUCUAAAGAGCUGCUCUUUUAUCCCCCUUCAAUGGAAGCCGUUGUCAGUGGAGAAAGCUGCCCAGGGAAGCUGAUCGAGAUCCACGGGAAGGCAGGCCUGUUUUUAGAAGGCCAGAUCCACCCCGAGUUGGAAGGAGUCGAGAUUGUCAUCAGUGAAAAGGGGGCAAGUUCACCGCUGAUCACAGUCUUUACUGAUGACAAAGGUGCCUACAGUGUUGGCCCCCUGCACAGUGACCUGGAGUAUACGGUGACCUCACAGAAGGAGGGCUAUGUUCUGACUGCAGUGGAAGGAACCAUCGGAGACUUCAAGGCCUAUGCCCUGGCAGGCGUAAGCUUUGAGAUAAAAGCUGAGGAUGACCAGCCCCUCCCGGGAGUCCUCUUAUCCCUGAGCGGUGGCCUGUUUCGUUCCAACCUCUUGACCCAGGACAACGGCAUUCUGACAUUCUCAAACCUGAGCCCUGGCCAGUAUUACUUCAAACCCAUGAUGAAGGAGUUCCGGUUUGAGCCAUCCUCACAGAUGAUCGAGGUGCAGGAAGGCCAGAACCUGAAGAUCACCAUCACGGGGUACCGAACCGCUUACAGUUGCUAUGGCACAGUGUCUUCCUUAAACGGAGAGCCCGAACAAGGGGUUGCCGUGGAAGCGGUGGGCCAGAACGACUGCAGCAUUUACGGAGAAGACACCGUGACAGACGAAGAGGGCAAGUUCAGAUUACGUGGAUUGCUGCCGGGAUGUCUGUACCACGUUCAGCUCAAGGCAGAAGGCAACGACCACAUUGAGCGGGCGCUCCCCCACCAUAGGGUGAUUGAGGUUGGGAAUAAUGACAUCGAUGAUGUAAACAUCAUAGUUUUCCGGCAGAUUAAUCAAUUUGAUUUAAGUGGAAAUGUGAUCACUUCCUCUGAAUACCUUCCUACAUUAUGGGUAAGUCCAGACUUUUAAGCUCCAAGUAUUGUGUUCCCUUUGGCUUUGAGACAAGUACGAAUGGGAUGUUUUUGGUUUUGUGCCUGUCUUGUGCCUUAGGUGUGACAGGUGGAGGUGCUCCAGAGUGCCGCCUGCUGAGGGUUGAGGUUGAGAUUUAAGAACCUUGGACCACAACACAUAUUUGGGAGAGUGAUUGCCAAUUGUGGGAGAGAAUGUGGUCCAGUUUCAGAUAACUGUCUGCCAUCAGUUAAUCUUCCAAAGAAUUAUAGUAGAAGCCUGAUCAAUGAUCAGUACAAUAUGGAAUCUAACGUGGAAAGCCAAUUUUAAAGAAAGUGCCUUGUAACUUAAAAUUUUCUCUGGAGUGGAGGUCGUAUUAAACGUUCUUGCAUUGGUAUAAAGAAAUGCCUGAGGCUAGAUAAUUUAUAACAAAAGAGGCUUCAUUGGCUCCUCGUUCUGUAGGUUGUACAGGAAGCAUAGUGGCAUCUGCUUCUGGGGAGGCCUCAGGAGGCUUCCAAUCAUGGCAGAAGGUGAAGUGGGAGCAGGCAUGUCAUGUGGGAGAAGCUGGAGCAAAAGAGAGAGUUGGGGCAUGGUGCCACACACUUUUAAAUGAUCAGAUUUCACAAGACUCAUAACGAAGACAGCACCAAGCCAUGUGAUUAGAUUUGCAGACGCU
rnacentral:lncRNA from 1 species